UGGGGGAUAUUGCAACAAUGGGCGCAAGCCUGAUGCAGCGACGCCGCGUGAGGGAUGACGGCUUUCGGGUUGUAAACCUCUUUCGCUACUGAACAAGGGCCCUUGCUUGUUGUGGGGUUGAGGGUAGGUGGAUAAGAAGCGCCGGCUAACUACGUGCCAGCAGCCGCGGUAAUACGUAGGGCGCGAGCGUUGUCCGGAAUUAUUGGGCGUAAAGAGCUCGUAGGCGGCUUGUCGCGUCUGCUGUGAAAACGCGGGGCUUAACUCCGCAGCGUGCAGUGGGUACGGGCAGGCUAGAGUGUGGUAGGGGUGAUUGGAAUUCCUGGUGUAGCGGUGGAAUGCGCAGAUAUCAGGAGGAACACCGAUGGCGAAGGCAGGUCACUGGGCCAUUACUGACGCUGAGGAGCGAAAGCAUGGGGAGCGAACAGGAUUAGAUACCCU
rnacentral:rRNA from 1 species